UACGGGGGGGGCAAGCGUUGUUCGGAAUUACUGGGCGUAAAGGGCUCGUAGGUGGCCAACUAAGUCAGACGUGAAAUCCCUCGGCUUAACCGGGGAACUGCGUCUGAUACUGGAUGGCUUGAGUUUGGGAGAGGGACGCGGAAUUCCAGGUGUAGCGGUGAAAUGCGUAGAUAUCUGGAGGAACACCGGUGGCGAAGGCGGGUCUCUGGGCCGAUACUGACACUGAGGAGCGAAAGCGUGGGGAGCGAACAGG
rnacentral:rRNA from 1 species